rnacentral:rRNA from 1 species
CCUACGGGUGGCUGCAGUGGGGAAUAUUGGACAAUGGGCGCAAGCCUGAUCCAGCCAUGCCGCGUGAGUGACGAAGGUCUUCGGAUUGUAAAGCUCUUUUGGCGGGGACGAUAAUGACGGUACCCGCAGAAUAAGCCCCGGCUAACUUCGUGCCAGCAGCCGCGGUAAUACGAAGGGGGCUAGCGUUGUUCGGAAUUACUGGGCGUAAAGCGCACGUAGGCGGAUUUGUAAGUCAGGGGUGAAAUCCCGGGGCUCAACCUCGGAACUGCCUUUGAUACUGCAAGUCUUGAGUCCGGAAGAGGUGAGUGGAAUUCCUAGUGUAGAGGUGAAAUUCGUAGAUAUUAGGAAGAACACCAGUGGCGAAGGCGGCUCACUGGUCCGGUACUGACGCUGAGGUGCGAAAGCGUGGGGAGCAAACAGGAUUAGAUACCCGAGUAGUC